rnacentral:tRNA from 3 species
GCUGGCGUAGCUUAAUUAAAGCAUAACACUGAAG